UCCUGAUGGCUCAGAUGGUAGAGAAUCUGCCUGCAAUGCAGAAGACCUGGGUUUGAUCCCUGGGUCAGGAA
rnacentral:tRNA from 1 species